AUGCGUUGAGCUGACCAGUGCUAAUGAACCGUGAGGCUUAACCUGACAACACCGAAG
rnacentral:rRNA from 1 species